rnacentral:rRNA from 1 species
UUGUCCGGAUUUAUUGGGCGUACAGAGCGUGUAGGCGGCUAGGUAGGUCCGUUGUGAAAACUCGAGGCUCAACCUCGAGACGCCGAUGGAAACCAUCUGGCUAGAGUCCGGAAGAGGAGAGUGGAAUUCCUGGUGUAGCGGUGAAAUGCGCAGAUAUCAGGAAGAACACCCGUGGCUAAGGCGGCUCUCUAGUACGGUACUGACGCUGAGACGCGAAAGCGUGGGGAGCGAACAGG